rnacentral:rRNA from 1 species
GGGUGCGUAACGCGUAUACAAUCUACCCAUUACUAAGGGAUAGCCCAUGGAAACGUGGAUUAAUACCUUAUGGUAUUUAAGAAUCGCCUGAUUUUUAAAUUAAAGGUUACGGUAAUGGAUGAGUAUGCGUCCUAUUAGCUAUUAUGUAGGGUAACGGCCUACAUAGGCGAUGAUAGGUAGGGGUUCUGAGAGGGAGAUCCCCCACACUGGUACUGAGACACGGACCAGACUCCUACGGGAGGCAGCAGUGAGGAAUAUUGGACAAUGGGAGCAAUCCUGAUCCAGCCAUGCCGCGUGCAGGAAGACGGUCCUAUGGAUUGUAAACCGCUUUUAUACAGGAAGAAAAAGGAGUACGUGUACUCCAUUGACGGUACUGUAUGAAUAAGGAUCGGCUAACUCCGUGCCAGCAGCCGCGGUAAUACGGAGGAUCCGAGCGUUAUCCGGAAUUAUUGGGUUUAAAGGGUCCGUAGGCGGGAUAAUAAGUCAGUGGUGAAAGUUUGUGGCUCAACCAUAAAAUUGCCAUUGAUACUGUUAUUCUUGAGUUAUUGUGAAGUGGUUAGAAUGUGUAGUGUAGCGGUGAAAUGCAUAGAUAUUACACAGAAUACCAAUUGCGAAGGCAGAUCACUAACAAUGAACUGACGCUGAUGGACGAAAGCGUAGGUAGCGAACAGGAUUAGAUACCCUGGUAGUCUACGCAGUAAACGAUGGUUACUAGCUGUUUGGCAUAAUUGAGUGCUGAGUGGUUAAGCGAAAGUGAUAAGUAACCCACCUGGGGAGUACGUUCGCAAGAAUGAAACUCAAAGGAAUUGACGGGGGCCCGCGCAAGCGGUGGAGCAUGUGGUUUAAUUCGAUGAUACGCGAGGAACCUUACCAGGGCUUAAAUGCAGUCUGACAGGGGUGGAAACACCUUUUUCUUCGGACAGAUUGCAAGGUGCUGCAUGGUUGUCGUCAGCUCGUGCCGUGAGGUGUCAGGUUAAGUCCUAUAUCGAGCGCAACCCCUAUGGUUAGUUGCUAGCAGGUAAUGCUGAGAACUCUAGCCAGACUGCCGGUGUAAACCGCGAGGAAGGUGGGGAUGACGUCAAAUCAUCACGUCC